GAUGAAGAACGUAGCGAAAUGCGAUAAGUAAUGUGAAUUGCAGAAUUCAGUGAAUCAUCGAAUCUUUGAACGCACAUUGCGCCCCCUGGUAUUCCGGGGGGCAUGCCUGUUCGAGCGUCAUUACAACCCUCAAGCUCAGCUUGGUGUUGGGCCCCGCCGCCCCGGCGGGCCCUAAAGUCAGUGGCGGUGCCGUCCGGCUCCGAGCGUAGUAAUUCUUCUCGCUCUGGAGGUCCGGUCGUGUGCUCGCCAGCAACCCCCAAUUUUUUUCAGGUUGACCUCGGAUCAGGUAGGGAUACCCGCUGAACUUAAGCAUAUCAAUAAGCGGAGGA
rnacentral:misc_RNA from 1 species